CACGUAGGGCGCAAGCGUUGUCCGGAAUUAUUGGGCGUAAAGAGCGUGUAGGCGGCUCGGUAAGUCCGCUGUAAAAGUCCAGGGCUCAACCCUGGAAAGCCGGUGGAAACUGUCGAGCUAGAGUCCGGAAGAGGCGAGUGGAAUUCCUGGUGUAGCGGUGAAAUGCGCAGAUAUCAGGAGGAACACCAAUGGCGAAGGCAGCUCGCUGGGACGGUACUGACGCUGAGACGCGAAAGCGUGGGGAGCAAACAGG
rnacentral:rRNA from 1 species